GGCCCGGUGGCUCAGUUGGUUAGAGCGCCGCCCUGUCACGGCGGAGGUCGACGGUUCGAAUCCGUUCCGGGUCG
rfam:Oribacterium sinus F0268 genomic scaffold SCAFFOLD1, whole genome shotgun sequence.